ACUCAACAGUGCAGCUUGUAGGAACUGUAUCUUAGCAGAUGGAGUUACCCAAAAACUGCUUCAUAAAAUUCAGGAAAGUCUUCAGGACAGGGUGCCUUGCAGUUUCUCUCAAACAUGACAAGAGGCUCAUGAGGGAACAACUGGUUACAGCUGCUAUAACACAAGCAAACUAACUUGUCUCCUGGAUGUUCCACAACAUUAAAUGUCUAGAGUCCUCUGGAGUCAGGUUGCGGGUGUUUGGAGCACCUUCCCAGAAGGCCUGAAAGCAGACCUGGGUGGAGAGUCUCCAAAACCAAUACAGAGAUGGAAAUGAUGUUGACAUUCUUCCAUGUAAAGGGCUUUUCUUUCAUACAAAAUUAUGGAAAUAGCAGGAACCGGGGCUGAUUGCACUGUUUAGACACUCAGUUGAGACAUAGUACAACAUUUUAGUCAAAUGUUUGAGUGCUCCUCUGUAAUUAACUGACGUUGUUACUGUGAUUGAUGGGGUGAACUUUACAGAGACCAUCCACAUAUAAAAUAGAGAAUAUCUUGUGCAAUGUGCAACUCUUUUUUUUAUAUAUACCUAAUAACAUCUUUGUGUACUCAGGAAGAAGAAAGAGAUACUCCAAACACUCUGUGUACCACUUGUGUCUUCAUGUUCUAACUUCAUCACUCUGGCUUGCAUUUGGGUUUUAUUACCCUUACAUUAGUAAGUAGCCAUUUCCCACGUUCAUGGAAGUCUAGAUGAAAUGAGUUUGUAUCUCACCAUGCAGGCAAGCACAGAUCAUUCUGACACUUUAUGAAGGCUUAUCGAAAUGAUUGUUGGCUGUUCUUGCCUGGCACUAGGCAAAGGUUAUAAUGCACAUGGCUCAGUGGUGUUAUUCUUCACUUACUUUCAGAGUGCAGCAUGCAGGCAGGCUUUCGUAUUAAGGUUAUGGUGUCUUUGACAUUACAAAGGCCUGCAAAAACGUAUUCAUACAAUUAUCUAUUAUAUGAAAGUUUUCUCUUUUAUAAAGCAGGGAAUUUAAUUCUCACUUGUGUUUCAUUUAGACAACAAUAUUGUUACAAAUGUUUCUCCUUAGGAGAAACAGAAUGAGAAAAAAUAGUCAUGAGAGUUUUUUGAAACAGGAUUAUAAUACAGUUUCCUGAGAACAAGGUAAAUGCUUUACCUCUGCACCACCUGAGAAAUUUUUAAUUGAUAUGUAAAAAAAUAUAUAUACUGUGUUAGAAAACUGUCAAUCUCUGGUUAAUUACUUGAGUCAAGUUUUUUUUUUUAUGUAUUGGCAGAGGAACUGAACAGUAAAAACAAGUUAAAAUGAUAUUUGAUUAAAACAGAAUUGAAAUGUUUGAUAAAAAAAAAUGUAUUCUUAACAUAAUAGUAUAUCAUUACUGAAUUAAAAUUGGCUCACACAGAAACAUAAAUAAUUUAAUGUGGACAAUAAAUAACUGAGUGUCUACCACACUCAAAUACUUUUUAUGCCCAUAUUACUACUAUCUACAACCAAAAAAAUAGAAAUAAUAUUUCUAUAUUUUUUCCUAAGGGGUGUCAACAUUUGACUUUUGGAGUAUGUAAAUAGAAAAUAAUAUAAAAAAAUAAAAUAAAACAAAGCAAGCUUGCCAAAAGUAGACAUUGCUGGUCUUUUCCCAAUCUUCAACUGCUGAUCGAAGCAUCUGUGCCCAUGGAGCCUCAGAUUCCGUUUCUUAAGUGACAGGAAUGUUAUCUUCUACUUUUGUAUCUCCUUCACCUCCAGGCUUGAUGUGUUGUGCAUUCUGAGAUGCUUUUCUGCGUACUAUGCUUGUAAGGAGUGGUGAUUUGAGUUUCCCUUACUAUUAGGUCAAAGGAAUCUGGUCAUACUACUCUGAUCUCUUUCAUCAACAAAGUGUUUUCACCCGCAGAACUGCUGCUUACUUGAUGUUCUUUUUUUUUUUUUUGCCACAUUCUGUGUAAACUCUAGCAACCCAUUAGCAUGGCAUACCUGAAUACAAGGAAAAAAUAUUUGCAAGCAUAUUACAUGUGCUGACUGCUGACUGAUAAUGUCAUCCUUUAGCAGGUGUGUAUAAGCUAAUAAGAACCCGCAGCUUGUGUUUGUCUUAAGGCAAUUCAGGCAGUGUUAGAAGCUGACAGAUAAAGAAUGCAGAAAUCAAAAGAGCUUUGUAGGGAAGAAUAUUACAAGACCUCACACAAUCCAAUUGUAUGCACUGUUUGGAAGGCUGGUGCCCCUAAUGGCUCUCAGCUGUCAAUCAUUCCCUCUUCAACCAAAUAUAAUUUCCCAAAAAUACAAUAUAUAAUCCACGGAGAAAACACUGAAUAUUCAGACACAAAACAAACAGCUUUGGCCAGAGAACUGAGGAGGUGUUGGGUUGUGUUUUUUAUUCAUCUGUGUUCCUGGGAAGUCAGGAUUAGUAUGAAAGGGUUAUCUGAAGGCAACUCUUGGUUAUCAGGAGGGACGGGCACCAUUUAAACAGUAGUCCAGCAGGUCAUUCAAGGGGAAACAGGGAAACACAUUUAUCACAGAAAACCUACUCCCUAUUAUCUUCUAAAUCCACUGUUUAAAACAUACCAACACCAAUACUGAAGCUCUGAGAAUAACUUAUAACAAAAAAAGCAUUUGGGGAUUUUUAAUCAUAUUGUUGUCAUAUUGAUGUAAAUACAACCAAAGCAAAGUAGCUUUAGCAUCUUCUGACAUAUAAUUGGAAUGAAUGCAAUAAAAGCAGUAAUUUCUUGUCAAUGUGCCUUGACAGGAUUGAACAUGAUUGAACUGACACCACUUUAUUUUAAUAAUUAUCCUUAAAUUGUUGAGCAAUUUCUAAAAUGAAAAACACAAGAAAAUUAUUUAUGUUAUACAUUUGUAAAGAGAUACAGUAUGUAAUACCAAGUUAGCACUUAAACAGAAUAUUUAACAUUCGACUAGCAAUAUGUCUGCAUUGGCUACCACUCAGUUUUAGUCAUAGCCUUUUGUUGUAGGCCUUUCUCCUUACAUAAGUAUUGACCAUUUAGUCAUGCCAUAACCUUUAACAAUCGAAUUUCUAUAGUUUUAUUUGUUUAGUUAUUAAUCCAUAUGUCCAGAGGCAUUACUUUGUUUUAAAAAGAAUGAUGAUUGGCCAAAAAUAAAUGUGUGAAUAAUGACAAGUCUGAAGUAAUUUCAAAAGUGUUUAUAGCAAUCACAUCUCCCCUAUCUCACCUACAUACUGGAAACUAUUAGAUGAGAAAAGAAACAAAACCAAAGGGCAUGAACUCACUGGCUGAGUACAUUUGAUAUUAUAACAACAGCAACAGCUAGUAUAAACUCUCACUUAAUAGUCACAUAUGUCACAAUAUCCUGAUUAAAUUUUUUAUAAAGAAAUAAAAUGUUAAGUUAUAAUUAAGUGUUUUUAGAGAUCAUUUGGGUCAGUUUGCCCCAAACUUUUCUAAAAGAUUUUUAAUGGACUACACUUGACUACUUCUGGGCACAACCCAGGCAUCCCCAUAGUAAGUUAUGUCUAUGCUGAUGAACUGCCUAAAUUACAAAAAUAACAAGUGAAGAAUUUAUUCCCACACUGUGAAAUGCCUCACAUAAACAUUAACCAUAAAUCAAUUAUCACAUCAAAUAAAUACAAUCAAAAGUUUUGAUGCUGUCCAAGAACUGGGAACUCUAAAUAAGAAAAAUUUAUUUGAGUUACAAACCAACUCAUAAUUCCCCACUCAGACAGCCUGGGUUUCUCAGGAAUUCUGACUUCUCUAAGUAGCAAUUCUGUGACAUCAAUUUAACAUUGUAGUGCCCCUGAUGAGGUUCUUGGGAUAGGCUCUAGGUCCACUGUAGCUCUAAACAGGGUAAAGCAGUUACACAAGAUGCAUAAAUUAAUGUUUAAUGCAAGAGGAUAGUUGAUAAGUGAAAGAACCAUUUGUUUUGUUUCUUUGUUUUCUGAUUUCUUGAUGAUGUAGUUA